UGAAGAGAGAGGGCGGGAAAAGCAGCUGUCAGCCUAUUAGAAAAUGGGUUCUCACCCUAGCAGUGGCGACAGGAAGAUCCCACCCCGCUAACAACACGCUUCCGUCUUCAGUUUAGUUACAACUGGUGUGAUUGAUGGCCCCAUCCUCACCAUUCAGAGCUUGCUCUUUAGUUUUCACUAAAGGCAAAUCCAGGGAAACUAAUCUCAGAAGAUCACUGACCACUGACUAUUGAAAUAUAAUGAAGUGUAUAGUAAUGAGACUGGCUGUCCAUAAAAACAUUACAACCUAUCAUCCAAAUGAGUGCUGUCACUUCAAAAUAGUCAUUCAAGAAGCUUUUAGCCUUGUUUUAAUGAGGACACUGCUCAAAACAAGAAGAAUCUCCUUCAGAGUCUAUAACACACAAUGCAAUGAAUAUUCAUUAUCUGCAGGUGGAUUGGAUUUAUGCAAAUAGCCAAAAGAACUCAGGCCAACACUGAUGAGUAAAUGGGGUGGGAAAUCUGGAUGGUAAAUGUGUUUCAAAAUUUUUUGGAUUUUUGAAAGAUAGUAUGGUGCAUAUACAAAAUAUAAAGCAACAAUCCCAACGCAUCUGGACAGCACCCAGUAAUCAAAUAAAUUAAUAUUUAUGCAAUGA